CGGAACUCCUGUUUUGUUGGUUUGUAUAGGAGGGGUGUAAUGAUUAAUAGGGAUAGUUGGGGGCAUUCAUAUUUCAUUGUAAGGGGUGAAAUCCUUGGAUUAAUGAAAGAUGAACUUUUGCGAAAGCAUUUGCCAAGGAUGUUUUCAUUGAUCAAGAACGAAAGUUGGGGGAUCGAAGACGAUCAGAUACCGUCGUAGUCUCAACCAUAAACUAUGCCGACUAGGGAUUGGCGAGGGUUUUCAUUAUACUUCUUCAGCACCUUUUGAGAAAUCAAAGUUUUUGGGUUCCGGGGGGAGUAUGGUCGCAAGGCUGAAACUUAAAGGAAUUGACGGAAGGGCACCACCAGGAGUGGAGCCUGCGGCUUAAUUUGACUCAACACGGGGAAACUC
rnacentral:rRNA from 1 species